GACGAACCGUCCUAACGUUGUUCGGAUUCACUGGGCUUAAAGGGCGCGUAGGCGGCUUGCCAAGUCAGGGGUGAAAUCUUUCGGCUUAACCGGAAAAGUGCUUCUGAUACUGGCGAGCUGGAGGGAGGUAGGGGCAGACGGAACUUCCGGUGGAGCGGUGAAAUGCGUAGAUAUCGGAAGGAACGCCGGUGGCGAAAGCGGUCUGCUGGAUCUCUUCUGACGCUGAGGCGCGAAAGCCAGGGGAGCAAACGGG
rnacentral:rRNA from 1 species